GGGCCGCUAGCUCAAUGGCAGAGCAAUGGCCUUUUAAGCCAGAGGUUCUGGGUUCGACUCCCAGGCGGCCCA
rnacentral:tRNA from 1 species